rnacentral:rRNA from 1 species
CAAGGCNACNACGGNUAGCCGGCCUGAGAGGGUGACCGGCCACACUGGGACUGAGACACGGCCCAGACUCCUACGGGAGGCAGCAGUGGGGAAUCUUGCGCAAUGGGCGAAAGCCUGACGCAGCAACGCCGCNUGGGGGAUGACGGCCUUCGGGUUGUAAACC